UACAGAGGGGGCAAGCGUUGUUCGGAUUUACUGGGCGUACAGGGCGCGUAGGCGGUUGGGUAAGCCCUCCGUGAAAUCUCCGGGCCUAACCCGGAAAGUGCGGAGGGGACUGCUCGGCUAGAGGAUGGGAGAGGAGCGCGGAAUUCCCGGUGUAGCGGUGAAAUGCGUAGAGAUCGGGAGGAACACCUGUGGCGAAGGCGGCUUUCUGGGCCUUACCUGACGCUGAGACGCGAAAGCGUGGGGAGCGAACCGG
rnacentral:rRNA from 1 species